rnacentral:rRNA from 1 species
AUUUAAUUGGUGACUUGUAUGAAGGAUUGGAUGAAAUAUAAACUGUCUCUAGAUUAUAUUUAGAAAUUAAUUUUUUAAUUAAAAAGUUAAGAUAAAUUAAAAAGACGAGAAGACCCUAUAGAGUUUUAUAGAUAGUUUUAUUAAGAUUAUUUGAAUAAAAAAAAAAUUAAAAUGGAAUUAUUUAUUUUAUUGGGGUGAUAGAAAAAUAAAUAUAACUUUUUUUAAAAUUAAAACAUUUAUAAGUGAUUAAUUGAUCCAAUAUUAUUGAUUAUAAGAAAAAAUUACCUUAGGGAUAACAGCGUAAUUUUUUUUUUUAGUUCAAAUAAGAAAAAGAGUUUGCGACCUCGAUGUUGGAUUAAGAUAAAAUUUAAAUGCAGAAG